GACGAACGCUGGCGGCGUGCUUAACACAUGCAAGUCGAACGGAAAGGCCCUGCUUUUGUGGGGUGCUCGAGUUGCGAACGGGUGAGUAACACGUGAGUAACCUGCCCUUGACUUUGGGAUAACUUCAGGAAACUGGGGCUAAUACCGGAUAGGAGCUCCUGCUGCAUGGUGGGGGUUGGAAAGUUUCGGCGGUUGGGGAUGGACUCGCGGCUUAUCAGCUUGUUGGUGGGGUAGUGGCUGACCAAGGCUUUGACGGGUAGCCGGCCUGAGAGGGUGACCGGCCACAUUGGGACUGAGAUAAGGCCCAGACUACUACGGGAGGCAGCAGUGGGGAAUAUUGCACAAUGGGCGGAAGCAUGAUGCAGCAACGCCGCGUGCGGGAUGACGGCCUUCGGGUUGUAAACCGAUUUCGCCUGUGACGAAGCGUGAGUGACGGUAAUGGGUAAAGAAGCACCGGCUAACUACGUG
rnacentral:rRNA from 1 species